rnacentral:rRNA from 1 species
UACGAACUGCGCAAACGUUAUUCGGAAUCACUGGGCUUACAGGGUGCGUAGGCGGUUCGUCAGGUCAGAUGUGAAAUCCCACAGCUCAACUGUGGAACUGCAUUUGAAACCGGCGGACUUGAGUAGACUAGAGGUACACGGAACUUCAGGUGGAGCGGUGAAAUGUGUUGAGAUCUGAAGGAACACCAGAGGCGAAAGCGGUGUACUGGAGUCUGUCUGACGCUGAGGCACGAAAGCCAGGGGAGCGAACGGG